rnacentral:rRNA from 1 species
GGGUCAGUAGGUUGGUCGUGCCACCGGUACGUACUGGCCUCACUGAUUCCUCCUUCCUGAAGAACCGUAAUGCCAUUAAUUUGGUGUUGCGGGGAAACAGGACUGUUACUUUGAAAAAAUUAGAGUGUUUAAAGCAAGCUAACGCUUGAAUACAUUAGCAUGGAAUAAUGAAGUAGGACGAUCGAUCCUAUUUUGUCGGUUUCUAGGAUUGACGUA